rnacentral:rRNA from 1 species
CCUACGGGCAGCAGUAGGGAAUAUUGGGCAAUGGAGGCAACUCUGACCCAGCCAUGCCGCGUGCAGGAAGAAGGCGUUAUGCGUUGUAAACUGCUUUUAUAUAGGAAGAAAUAGACCUUGCGAGGUAAGUUGACGGUACUAUAUGAAUAAGCACCGGCUAACUCCGUGCCAGCAGCCGCGGUAAUACGGAGGGUGCAAGCGUUGUCCGGAUUUAUUGGGUUUAAAGGGUGCGUAGGCGGUUUAUUAAGUCAGUGGUGAAAGACGGUCGCUCAACGAUUGCAGUGCCAUUGAUACUGGUAGACUUGAGUGGGAUUGAGGUAGCUGGAAUGGAUAGUGUAGCGGUGAAAUGCAUAGAUAUUAUCCAGAACACCAAUUGCGUAGGCAAGUUACUAAGUCUCAACUGACGCUGAGGCACGAAAGUGUGGGUAUCAAACAGGAUUAGAUACCCUGGUAGUCCACACUGUAAACGAUGAUAACUAACUGUUGGCUUUCGGGUCAGUGGUACAGAGAAAUCGUUAAGUUAUCACCUGGGGAGUACGCCGGCAACGGUGAAACUUAAGGAAUUGACCGGNNGAGAGNGCGAGACGACGACGAGGGAGGAGG